rnacentral:rRNA from 1 species
UUGAACGCUGGCGGCAGGCUUAACACAUGCAAGUCGAGCGGGGAAAGGUAGCUUGCUACCUGACCUAGCGGCGGACGGGUGAGUAAUGCUUAGGAAUCUGCCUAUUAGUGGGGGACAACAUCUCGAAAGGGAUGCUAAUACCGCAUACGUCCUACGGGAGAAAGCAGGGGACCUUCGGGCCUUGCGCUAAUAGAUGAGCCUAAGUCGGAUUAGCUAGUUGGUGGGGUAAAGGCCUACCAAGGCGACGAUCUGUAGCGGGUCUGAGAGGAUGAUCCGCCACACUGGGACUGAGACACGGCCCAGACUCCUACGGGAGGCAGCAGUGGGGAAUAUUGGACAAUGGGGGGAACCCUGAGCCAGCCAUGCCGCGUGUGUGAAGAAGGCCUUUUGGUUGUAAAGCACUUUAAGCGAGGAGGAGGCUACCGAGAUUAAUACUCUUGGAUAGUGGACGUUACUCGCAGAAUAAGCACCGGCUAACUCUGUG